GCUCCCCAUUCGACCCGUC
rnacentral:snRNA from 1 species